rnacentral:lncRNA from 1 species
GGCGGGGCCCGGAGUUUAUACCGCCGCGCGCGGGCCGCUGGCGGCAGACAAUACGGCUCCCGGCUCCAGCGCUCCGGGCAGACGCCGCCGCCACCGCCGCCACCGCCGCCACCGCCGCGAGGUAAGUCCGAUCCCUGCCGCCUCUGCUGGGGACCUAACUCCGCUGCCGUCCGCCCCUCCGCCCGGCCCCAGCUCUGCAGGUAGGCGCCGGGGGCUGCCCUGGGCGCCGAGCGGCUGGAAGCUGGGGGCCAUGUGCCCAGGUUUUGCUUACUCGGGUUGACUCCUUGGGGGCGACGUCUCGGGACCUCGGUUCCGGAACAAUCCUUCGCUGGCGGAGGCUCCAGUUCCCCGUUGGCGGGCGUGCCAGCCGCGGGCCCCGAGGGCCUCAGUCUCCGCAUCCGUACAAUGGGCCACCCUUCUGCACCGCACCCCGGGGGCCGGACGCCCCUUUGCUCAGCGCCUCCUUCUGGUGCGGCCUCUGGGGCCGGGCUCCCACGUCCUUCGGGUCCUGCGGACCCGGCCGGAGCGCGGAACCCCCAGGCCGGGGCCGCGGUGACACAGCCGCGCGGCCACGAAAAAGGGGAAUAUGGCGUCGGGCACUGGUCCCCGCCGGCCCCGGGGCGCCCCGGCGCCGCGCACCUGCGAAGGGCCCGAGACGAACUUGACCGGGGCCGCAGGCGGGGCGGUCCGGAACAGGAACUGCGCGCCGAGCGGGCGCCGCCGCCCUCCGCCUGCCCACUGCCUGCGCAGGUGCGCCCGGCGGGGAAGGCGCCCGGUUUGGUUUUGUAAACCGGGGACCGCCGGCCGCCGCAGCGCUGGAGUGGCCGCCGGGCGCGUUCCAUCCGGUGACCGCGAGGGGUCCCGCCGCCCAUCCCCGCGCGGUCCAAACCAGCCCUGGGCUGGGGACUCGAGGCUCCUUAACACUUGCUCCACGCGCUCCUGUCUCCUGGGUGCGAAACGAGAAGAAAUGUAUGAAGCAAGACCCCUCUCCAGGAGCCUCUUCUUGUACACCUUCCUGCAAAACCAUGGCCCCAGCUUCCUGGACGAGCAAGUGGUGGGGGUUCCUGGCGUGACCAAUAUCUUGGAGUUCCACCCCGAGGUCUCCCCCCACAGCAGUGAGGCCCCCCAUCACCUGGCCAUGCAGCUGGCCUCCAUUGCCGAUGAUCUGGAGCUGAGGUUGCUGCUGCCCCAGUUCGCCGAGCCACUCUGGAUGAUCGUGUACAGCUCUUUCUUCCCCUUUAGCCAGAUAGGCCCGAGGGAUGUUCUUCGAAGCUUCAUGAUUGCGUUCACGAACCUCAGGGAGAACCGAAGGCUCAGGAGCAUCUUGUCCCUCAGGGACAGGGUGUCUCCCAGCCUGUGGCCCGAGCUGGCGCUGUCCCUGCUGCUGGUGGUGAUGCUUGCCUGGAGGGUCGUUACUGGUGAACGCACCUGCUCCCCUGGCCCAGCCCGCGCUGUGCCGAGAAGGUGCCUCCUCCUUGUGGGUUGGUCACAGCGGACGUCAGGGGGGGUGCUGGUCACACCCCUGUGUCUGUGA